rnacentral:rRNA from 1 species
AUUGAACGCUGGCGGCAUGCCUUACACAUGCAAGUCGAGCGGCAGCGCGGGGACAACCCUGGCGGCGAGCGGCGAACGGGUGAGUAAUACAUCGGAACGUGUCCAGUAGCGGGGGAUAACCUGUCGAAAGAUAGGCUAAUACCGCAUACGACCUACGGGUGAAAGCGGGGGACCGCAAGGCCUCGCACUAUUGGAGCGGCCGAUGUCGGAUUAGCUAGUUGGCGGGGUAACGGCCCACCAAGGCGACGAUCCGUAGCUGGUCUGAGAGGACGAACAGCCACACGGGAACUGAGACACGGUCCAGACUCCUACGGGAGGCAGCAGUGGGGAAUUUUGGGCAAUGGGCGCAAGCCUGAUCCAGCCAUGCCGCGUGAGUGAAGAAGGCCUUCGGGUUGUAAAGCUCUUUCGGCGGGGACGAAACGGUCCGUGCCAACACCACGGACUAAUGACAGUACUCGCAGAAGAAGCACCGGCUAACUACGUGCCAGCCGCCGCAGUAA